rnacentral:rRNA from 1 species
CAGUCGAACGAAGCAUUUAGAACAGAUUACUUCGGUUUGAAGUUCUUUAUGACUGAGUGGCGGACGGGUGAGUAACGCGUGGGUAACCUGCCUUGUACUGGGGGAUAGCAGCUGGAAACGGCUGGUAAUACCGCAUAAGCGCACAAUGUUGCAUGACAUGGUGUGAAAAACUCCGGUGGUAUAAGAUGGACCCGCGUCUGAUUAGCUAGUUGGUGAGAUAACAGCCCACCAAGGCGACGAUCAGUAGCCGACCUGAGAGGGUGACCGGCCACAUUGGGACUGAGACACGGCCCAGACUCCUACGGGAGGCAGCAGUGGGGAAUAUUGCACAAUGGAGGAAACUCUGAUGCAGCGACGCCGCGUGAGUGAAGAAGUAAUUCGUUAUGUAAAGCUCUAUCAGCAGGGAAGAUAGUGACGGUACCUGACUAAGAAGCUCCGGCUAAAUACGUGCCAGCAGCCGCGGUAAUACGUAUGGAGCAAGCGUUAUCCGGAUUUACUGGGUGUAAAGGGAGUGUAGGUGGCCAUGCAAGUCAGAAGUGAAAAUCCGGGGCUCAACCCCGGAACUGCUUUUGAAACUGUAAGGCUAGAGUGCAGGAGGGGUGAGUGGAAUUCCUAGUGUAGCGGUGAAAUGCGUAGAUAUUAGGAAGAACACCAGUGGCGAAGGCGGCUCACUGGACUGUAACUGACACUGAGGCUCGAAAGCGUGGGGAGCAA